GGUGCAUGGUGGCUUAGUGGUUAGAACGUCCACCUCACAUUUCCAGGGUCGUGGGUUCGUUUCCCACCGUGACCA